rnacentral:tRNA from 1 species
AGGGGGGCUAGUCUAAAACAAGACCUCUGAUUUCGGCUCAGAGAACUGUGGUUUAAGUCCACAGCCCCCUU